rnacentral:rRNA from 1 species
AACGAACGCUGGCGGCAGGCUUAACACAUGCAAGUCGAGCGCCCCGCAAGGGGAGCGGCAGACGGGUGAGUAACGCGUGGGAAUCUACCCUUUUCUACGGAAUAACGCAUGGAAACGUGUGCUAAUACCGUAUGAGCCCUUCGGGGGAAAGAUUUAUCGGGAAAGGAUGAGCCCGCGUUGGAUUAGCUAGUUGGUGGGGUAAAGGCCUACCAAGGCGACGAUCCAUAGCUGGUCUGAGAGGAUGAUCAGCCACAUUGGGACUGAGACACGGCCCAAACUCCUACGGGAGGCAGCAGUGGGGAAUAUUGGACAAUGGGCGCAAGCCUGAUCCAGCCAUGCCGCGUGAGUGAUGAAGGCCCUAGGGUUGUAAAGCUCUUUCACCGGUGAAGAUAAUGACGGUAACCGGAGAAGAAGCCCCGGCUAACUUCGUGCCAGCCGCCGCCGUAA